rnacentral:lncRNA from 1 species
GCGACUCUACUUGGGAAGUCGAAGAUGAGAUGCGAAGCUCUUACCCUCACCUAUUCUCUGGUAAACUUUAUUUUCGCGGACGAAAAUUUUAUUUGUUAGGUAAGGACCCCAUAACUUAUAAGGCCAUUGGGCCUCUGAAAGGGCAGCUAGGCCCAUCAGACCAAGACACUAGGGCCUUUGGGGGACUUAGCCAAAAGUCAGAAACUUCAUUUUUC